rnacentral:tRNA from 1 species
GUCCUCAAAGCUCAAGAUGAGUGUUUAACUGUUAAUUAAAAGGUUGCCAGUAGGCUGAGGAAG